rnacentral:rRNA from 1 species
UACGAAGGGGGCUAGCGUUGUUCGGAAUUACUGGGCGUAAAGCGCACGUAGGCGGAUACUUAAGUUAGGGGUGAAAUCCCGGGGCUCAACCCCGGAACUGCCUCCAAAACUACUAGUCUUGAGAUCGUGAGAGGUGAGUGGAAUUCCGAGUGUAGAGGUGAAAUUCGUAGAUAUUCGGAGGAACAUCAGUGGCGAAGGCGGCUCACUGGUCCGGUACUGACGCUGAGGUGCGAAAGCGUGGGGAGCAAACAGG